UACAUAAAGAAGGUCUUUUGACAAUUAAAACUGCUGAAAUUAAAAGGGAUUAUAGGAGACUGUGAGCUUCCCAGUACAAGAAGUAUUUAAGUUAUUCUGGCAGCACUGUGGUGGAGAUGAAGGGAAACGAAAAGAGAUGGAGGGACAGUUAAGAACACACUGGAAUAACCUGGGCGGAAAAGAGAACUUGCCUUGUGUCAAGGAAAACAGGCAAGACAAAUGGCUCAGGGACAGGUUUUAGAGCUACCCCACAACUGAGGAAGGAAGGCAAAGUACUACCAGCGCACUGGCUUCUACCUUGAAACAUACACCACCUAGAUUCCAAAUUAAAAAAAAAAUUUAAAAAGUAAAAUUUUUUAGU